UGUGAUGAAUAAAAAAGGCUCCUUUAGC
rnacentral:piRNA from 1 species